rnacentral:rRNA from 1 species
CAGUCGCCGCGGUAAUACGUAGGGUGCGAGCGUUAAUCGGAAUUACUGGGCGUAAAGCGUGCGCAGGCGGUUAUAUAAGACAGAUGUGAAAUCCCCGGGUUCAACCUGGGACCUGCAUUUGUGACUGUAUAGCUAGAGUACGGUAGAGGGGGAUGGAAUUCCGCGUGUAGCAGUGAAAUGCGUAGAUAUGCGGAGGAACACCGAUGGCGAAGGCAAUCCCCUGGACCUGUACUGACGCUCAUGCACGAAAGCGUGGGGAGCAAACAGGAUUAGAUACCCCUGUAGUCCCUGUCUCUUAUAU